CUUAAUCUAAUAUCGAUUGGCCAAUGAAAUUGGACAAUUCAACUUCUAUGAAGUUCGUUCCAUAAAUAUUGUGGUUGGUGUAUUGCAUAGUUUUAGCCAUUGAAUUUCAAUCAAAACUCACCAAAUGACUCCUCCCACCAUAUUAUAAGGUUGACCAAGUUUUGGACUGAAUCCGAUAUGGAUUGGCCAAUGAAAUUGGGCAAUUCGAGUUCAUACGAAGUUAGUUCCGUAAAUGGAGUGGAGGGUUUAUUGCAUAGUUUUAGCCAUUGGAUUUCACUCAAAACUCACCAAUUGAC
rnacentral:lncRNA from 1 species